AGGCCUUGCUGUAGUCAACCCAGAUAGUGCACACUACUACCUGGGUUGACUACCUGGGUUUCG
ensembl:miRNA